rnacentral:rRNA from 1 species
UACGUAGGGUGCGAGCGUUAAUCGGAAUUACUGGGCGUAAAGGGUGCGUAGGCGGUUUGCUAAGACAGGUGUGAAAUCCCCGGGCUUAACCUGGGAAUGGCGCUUGUUACUGGCAGGCUAGAGUGUGUCAGAGGGAGGUAGAACUCCACGUGUAGCAGUGAAAUGCGUAGAGAUGUGGAGGAAUACCGAUGGCGAAGGCAGCCUCCUGGGAUAACACUGACGCUGAGGCACGAAAGCGUGGGGAGCAAACAGG